CUCUCUGGGUGGCGAGUGGCGGACGGGUGAGGAAUACAUCGGAAUCUACUUUUUCGUGGGGGAUAACGUAGGGAAACUUACGCUAAUACCGCAUACGACCUACGGGUGAAAGCAGGGGAUCUUCGGACCUUGCGCGAUUGAAUGAGCCGAUGUCGGAUUAGCUAGUUGGCGGGGUAAAGGCCCACCAAGGCGACGAUCCGUAGCUGGUCUGAGAGGAUGAUCAGCCACACUGGAACUGAGACACGGUCCAGACUCCUACGGGAGGCAGCAGUGGGGAAUAUUGGACAAUGGGCGCAAGCCUGAUCCAGCCAUACCGCGUGGGUGAAGAAGGCCUUCGGGUUGUAAAGCCCUUUUGUUGGGAAAGAAAUCCAGCUGGUUAAUACCCGGUUGGGAUGACGGUACCCAAAGAAUAAGCACCGGCUAACUUCGUGCCAGCAGCCGCGGUAAUACGAAGGGUGCAAGCGUUACUCGGAAUUACUGGGCGUAAAGCGUGCGUAGGU
rnacentral:rRNA from 1 species